UCUCCGUAGGUGAACCUGCGGAGGGAUCAUUACCGAGCUCAUGCCCUUACGGGUAGAUCUCCCACCCUGUGUUAUUAUUACCUUUGUUGCUUUGGCGGGCCGCCAGGCUCCGGUCAGGCUAUCGGCUUCGGCUGGUAAGCGCCCGCCAGAGGACCCUAUAUCCUGAUUAUUAGUGUCGUCUGAGUACUAUAUAAUAGUUAAAACUUUCAACAACGGAUCUCUUGGCUCUC
rnacentral:misc_RNA from 1 species